AUCUUCCACUCCUUGUGCUCUGGUUUGCAGGAAUGCAAACAAUGAAACUGUGAAACUACCAGUCUUAGACCAAGGAUUCUGGAAAGUUCUGUUCAAAUGAGUUGGAGUGGCCUUUAGGCUCCUGCAGGAUGAAAGCAGGGCGAACUAAAGCAUGGGGACUACUAUGCAGAGAACAGUACAAAUACAGUCCUCAGCUGUACAAUUUCGCAGUCGUGUUCUGCACCUGAAGAAACUACCCUUCAUAUUAGAAUAUCUGUCACAUGCAGCUAGAAAAGGUAUCAUGAAGGAAGAGGAGAAUCUUUUUGUGGAGGAGGGAGGAGAUGAGAACAAAUCAUUAUUUGGGAACUGGUAAACAGUAUGCAAAAGUUUGUUUUUCAAGACAUUGAAAAGGCAGAUGACUACCAAAAAGCUGUGACUGACCAUAAGGAUUGGCAAUGUUUGUAAUUGAGAGCUAUUCUAACUGUGGAUGUUCGGAGUAGAUAAUGUCUAGGAAACUUUUUUUUUUAACAAGGUUGUUGGAUUUUGCAAAGAAUUGGAUCUGUGUAAACUGUUCCUUCAAGACAGGUGGAGCUAACUUAUAAAGUCUUU
rnacentral:lncRNA from 1 species